rnacentral:lncRNA from 1 species
CUUUAUGUAUACUCAAUUAAAAGGCAGUUCAAAAAAAUUUCGGGUAAAAUUUUGAUAAUAAUUGAUAUAAAUUGAAACUCAUUCUGGCUCAAAUUUUAUUUCAUAAAAUAUUUUUCUCAGAAUACUCAAUUACAUGACAAUUGAAAAAGAAUAUUUGUUAAGUAAAAAGUUUAAUAAUAUUUAUCAUAAUUCAUAUCCAAAGUACUUUGGCUCAAAUUUUAUGCCCGAGUAGAUUGAGUCCACAGAAACCCGAGGUAUUAUACUAGAUGCGAAAUACAACGUUUUAGAAAAACAUUAAAACUAAGUCUAAAGUCAGAUAAGGUUUUCAUAUAGUCAUAAGUCAGAGCAUAAUACUCGCCUUUUAAGCAAAGGGAAAAGAUUAUUUUCGCCACAAUUUCACGUAAACCCAAACGUGGUGACAGAAUUUCCCAGCAAUUAUUUGUGCUGAAUUUGUACUAAAUCGAGAAAUUUAACCAAAAUAUAAUUUUGCCCUCAACUUGUUAGAUAUGCAAGAUUUGUGACGAUAUAGACACCACCCUUGGGGGGGGGGGGGGGGNNNNNNNNNNNNNNNNNNNNAUAUGACAAGUUGGGUAUCCUAUAACAUAGAUACGGCAGGCCCUCUACUCUGGAGAUAAAUUGGAACAGAAUGGCUGAAAUUGAGUAUACCUUAAAG